rnacentral:rRNA from 1 species
AAAUUGAAGAGUUUGAUCAUGGCUCAGAUUGAACGCUGGCGGCAGGCCUAACACAUGCAAGUCGAACGGUAACAGGAAGCAGCUUGCUGCUUUGCUGACGAGUGGCGGACGGGUGAGUAAUGUCUGGGAAACUGCCUGAUGGAGGGGGAUAACUACUGGAAACGGUAGCUAAUACCGCAUAACGUCGCAAGACCAAAGAGGGGGACCUUCGGGCCUCUUGCCAUCGGAUGUGCCCAGAUGGGAUUAGCUAGUAGGUGGGGUAACGGCUCACCUAGGCGACGAUCCCUAGCUGGUCUGAGAGGAU